UCAGUCACACUGACCCCAGAGGAACUUAUCAGAUGCUUUAUUUGUUAACUUUAAGAGCUCAAAAACUUGACAAGGUCACUCAAAUGGCCUUUAUGGAUGCCAAACCAAAAUCGGGCAGCAAGACAUUCUAUCACUGUACACAGCCAACCGUUGUACAUUGGGAGUCAGUUCCGCCACAGCAGCUCGCUGCUGGACACCGUCUGCAGCUCCUGUGUUUCACUUGAAAAAUUAGAGUGUUGCAGGAAGUGAUUAGGACAUAAAGUAACCCACUGUACCGUUAUCCACUGUACCGGUAUAUCAAAGCAACUAUUUUUGUCCGUGGACGUACACCACAGGACAGGAGACAGUCCCAGAGGAUGGCUUGUCAAUAGGGUGACAGUAACUUGCUGGAAGUUGAGGAAAAUGACACAAUUUGAAAUUCCUGGAGAAUAUUGAAGCCACAGGAAAUCGCACCUGAUCAUAAGUGGUGACAAAUCCACAGCAUUCGCCUGAAGGUGCGCCGAGGUGCCCUCUACGUGGGCCCAUUUUAGGGGGGGCGGACAGACUGCUAAUGACACUCCCUUCCCCGUCACAUCACUGCCUCUGCCUGUCUUUGUAAUUUGGGACUUUUCUCCUUUUUCGCAGAAAGGGGGGGUGUCAAAACUGAUCCAAACUGUCCUGGAACAAUUAGCACCGUCCCUGCACACUUCCCACCCAUCACUAAAGAGAAUCCUGACAUGCAACAACUAGAUGCAGGCACAAGACAUGCACAAACUCUGUCAUGUUAUCCACAAUCAACAAAGGGCACAUGAGCUCUGAGCCUCCAUGAACUGACAGUCCCAACUGUGAGGCAUAUCGUCAUCUUCUGAUAACCCGUUGACUCACAAAUAAGAAAUCUUUCUUCUGCGACUGUCUUUAAAGGCAAUGUUGGGUGUGCAAAGGAAGAGGGGAUUUAUUCACCAGUCGUGAUUAAAAUGACUACUCCUAACAUAGUGAAGUUUGGAAUUUAAUCUCAGUGUUGCACAGCUUCACCCGAAAUCUGCAGUGGAAAGUUUUCGUCAGCAGAGGGAAAGAGGUCUCAGACAACAACAA